rnacentral:miRNA from 1 species
CCUCCAGAUGUUGCUGAACUACAACUCCCAUGAUUCUCAGCCAAUCAUGGGAGUUGUAGUUCAGCAACAUCUGAAGG